rnacentral:rRNA from 1 species
AGAGUUUGAUCAUGGCUCAGAUUGAACGCUGGCGGCAUGCUUUACACAUGCAAGUCGAACGGCAGGCACGGGGGCAACCUGGUGGCGAGUGGCGAACGGGUGAGUAAUAUAUCGGAACGUACCCGGAAAUGGGGGAUAACGUAGCGAAAGUUACGCUAAUACCGCAUAUGCCCUAAGGGGGAAAGCGGGGGACUCGCAAGAACCUCGCGUUUUCGGAGCGGCCAAUAUCGGAUUAGCUAGUAGGUGAGGUAAAGGCUCACCUAGGCGACGAUCCGUAGCUGGUCUGAGAGGACGACCAGCCACACUGGAACUGAGACACGGUCCAGACUCCUACGGGAGGCAGCAGUGGGGAAUUUUGGACAAUGGGCGCAAGCCUGAUCCAGCCAUGCCGCGUGAGUGAAGAAGGCCUUCGGGUUGUAAAGCUCUUUCAGCCGGAAAGAAAACGCACGGGUUAAUAACCUGUGUGGAUGACGGUACCGGAAGAAGAAGCACCGGCUAACUACGUG